rnacentral:rRNA from 1 species
UACGUAGGUGGCAAGCGUUGUCCGGAAUUAUUGGGCGUAAAGCGCGCGCAGGCGGUCCUUUAAGUCUGAUGUGAAAGCCCACGGCUCAACCCGUGGAGGGUCAUUGGAAACUGGGGGGACUAGUGCAGAAGAGGAGAGUGGAAUUCCACGUGUAGCGGUGAAAUCGUAGAGAUGUGGAGGAACACCAGUGGCGAAGGCGACUCUCUGGUCUGUAACUGACGC